rnacentral:rRNA from 1 species
UAAUACAGAGACCUCAAGCGUUAUCCGGAUUAACUGGGCGUAAAGCGUCCGCAGAUGGUUUAGUAAGUCUCGUGUCAAAUGUCGACGCUCAACGUCGGCACUGCAUAGGAAACUACUAAGCUCGAGGCUGGGAGAGGUGAGCGGAAUUGCUGGUGUAGUAGUAAAAUGCGUUAAUAUCAGCAAGAACACCAAAGGCGAAGGCAGCUCACUGGAACAAGCCUGACAUUCAUGGACGAAAGCGUGGGGAGCGAAUGGG